AAACACCAACACCAACAGCCACGACUUUCACUCUUUAACAAUCAAUUAAACCCAACUCGUCAUGGUUCCAAGGCUUGCACCUGCCGCCAAGUUUUGCCAAAAUACCGUUUUAACUCGUAUAUUUGUAUAAAAAUGAAUAAUAGUUGAAAAUACGUACAAAAAUAUUAAUUAUAUAGAAAAUUACCGCCUUAAGUCACGCCUUACAAACACCGUGACUCGUCAAGGCUCGGAAAAAUUUAAGGUUCGACGUUGCUGUAAAGUCAAGCCCCUUGAGUUAUUUAGAACAUUGAUUCAGCCCAAACACACACAACACUCAUUUUUUUUUUCUGCAUGGAUUCACACCAAGAACAUUCGUUCUCGUGUUUUCCAACGACCCAUAAGAACAACAGCUCCUCCUUUUGAUCUUCCUUUUCCUUUCCUGUCUAACAUAAAACAAACACCUCAUGGGAUCGCUGUAACAGUAGCCAGAAACUCGCAUUCGUCUUUCUUCUUUCCUCAACAGCAAGAGCACAAAUGGUGCUUCUUUUCACCCAUCGAUCAGCUAAGAAUCGUAUUUCCCCCUCCCCACCUUAGACGAUGACAACAGCCACCAGCUCCCGUUUCCACUCCUUCUCCAUCGAUUGAAGCUCGCCGGAAAACCAAUUGUUGUCCCUCUCACUCUUUCUCGCCAUUUAAGCCUCGGAAACCAUCAUAUCCACCCACCACUUGAUGUGUUUCCUCUGAUCUGCUUCACCCUCGCCCUCCCUUUGAGCUUCUACUUCUGAAUCUGAAAAUGGAACCGACGAGGAAGCCGCCGAAGCAGCCCCUCGCCACUGUUGUCCCAAUAGCAGCCACCUGUUGCUUGCGUCUUCUUCCCUCGACUAGUGUUCGUCGAUCAACCAUCACCGAACCUUCAAUCCAUUCGAUUCUUCCUGUCUCGACUUACCUGACCAUCGCCGAUCUGCCUUGAUCCUUGAUCGGCCUCCGAUUGACCUUCCUCUUUUCUCGAUCGAACACCACCGGAGCUUCCCCAUUUUCCCUUUCGUUUGUCUGUUCCUUUUCUCGAUUUGAAGAAGAUGCCGACAACGACUUCUGUCGACUCCCAACCUCUUGAUUUGUGAAUCACCAUCGGGCCAUCUCUUCUUCGUUCAUAUUGCAUUCCCGUUCCAAUCUGUUGAAGGCUAGGGUAAAUGAAAGUCUCGAUUCCCUUUUCAUUUAAUGAAUUUUGGCAAAUACCAACCCCUCAUUAUAUUUAACUGGUCAAAAUAAAUCCCAAUCUUCAAAUCUUGAAUUAAAAUAAGCAUUUCAGCCCCUUCAUUGGAAGUUCUUGACAAAAUCAAUCCCAAUCCCCAAACAUCGACUCCAUUUAUUCAAAACAACCCCUCCCUUAAUUUAUUUUAACAAAAUCUAUCCUAUGUUGGUUAAUUAAAUUACCAAACAACCCCCAAUAGUUUAAAAUCGUUACGAAACGGUCCCGAAAGUAUUUUAAAGUUCAAGAAUUAUGAUUUUGCGGUUUCUCACGUCAAGCUGCUCAAAUAAACUGAUUUCGUACAAAUCGAACUCACGUUUCAAGGGUGCGUGUUACAGACCAUCUUUUUGUAUUUUUACAUGUUUUAUGAGAGAAUACAUGUGCAAUAUGGUAUAGAUUCAUACAUAAUACACAAAAAAUACUAUUAUUUUAUGCAAAUACUAUACUAGUUAUGAAAUAAUAGCUUG
rnacentral:lncRNA from 1 species